rnacentral:rRNA from 1 species
GUGCCAGCCGCCGCGGUAAUACAGAGGGUGCAAGCGUUAAUCGGAAUGACUGGGCGUAAAGGGCGCGUAGGUGGAUACGUAAGUAAAUUGUGAAAGACCUGGGCUUAACCUAGGAAGGUCAAUUUAAACGGCGUAUCUAGAGUGGAGUAGAGGGAAGUAGAAUUUCCGGUGUAGCGGUGAAAUGCGUAGAUAUCGGAAGGAAUACCGGUGGCGAAGGCGUCUUCCUGGACUCUAACUGACACUGAGGCGCGAAAGCAUGGGGAUCAAACAGGAUUAGAUACCCCUGUAGUCC